ACAAAAAAAAAAAAAACAAAAAAUCCUCGCUUUCUAAGGCUUCACAGAAUAAUAUUCGCAAUAAUACACGUAAACCUGUCACACACAGGAUUCAUGCGUAAGCCAAUUUGCCCUCCACUAUUGGCAGGGCGAACUGUGGAGUGUGGACUCUCGACUACUUACUACUAGUUCAAUAGCUGAAAUUUUUAUUUAAUAAAGUCUGGCAUAUUCAAG
rnacentral:misc_RNA from 1 species